rnacentral:rRNA from 1 species
GUCUAUGGCAAUGUCACCUUGAAUGUGCCUAAUCUCGUCUGAUCUCGGAAGCUAAGCAGGGUCGGGCCUGGUUAGUACUUGGAUGGGAGACCACCUAGGAAUACCAGGUGCUGUAGGUG